AUUGAACGCUGGCGGCAUGCCUUAUACAUGCAAGUCGAACGGCAGCGGGGACUUCGGUCCGCCGGCGAGUGGCGAACGGGUGAGUAAAGUAUCGGAACGUACCUUUCAGUGGGGGAUAACGUAGCGAAAGUUACGCUAAUACCGCAUAUUCUGUGAGCAGGAAAGCAGGGGAGUCGCAAGACCUUGCGCUGAUUGAGCGGCCGAUAUCAGAUUAGCUAGUUGGUGAGGUAAAGGCUCACCAAGGCGACGAUCUGUAGCGGGUCUGAGAGGAUGAUCCGCCACACUGGAACUGAGACACGGUCCAGACUCCUACGGGAGGCAGCAGUGGGGAAUUUUGGACAAUGGGGGCAACCCUGAUCCAGCCAUGCCGCGUGAGUGAAGAAGGCCUGG
rnacentral:rRNA from 1 species